rnacentral:lncRNA from 1 species
CUGUUUGGUGCCCUGGUCGCGUGUCUUCCGAACUCUGCUGCUUCGCCCCGGCAAGAGCACUUCCUUCCGCGGCUGCUAAAACUGGUGCGCGGGUUCCCAACUUCGCAGAAGAGCUUCAUCGGCCCCCCGCUAGAGACCUCAGACCGCAGCCAUCGACGCCUCGCCUCGGGGAUCUGUCCCCACCCUCGGGGCCAGCCCUAGCGUAGCAGGUGCUCCCUGCAGUUUUUGCUUCUGAGAUAGAGUUCUCUUUUCAGCUCCUUCGGUAGUCACUUCGUACAUAGUGAUUCAUGAUGCGAAAUCCUCUCUGUUGAAAUAACUGACGAGGCCUCUGUCUUCUGACUGGACCCUGACUUCCAUGCCCUUUCCACUCUCACUCCAGUACAUGCCCAAACCCCAAUCUUUGUUGCUCCAGGCAUUGCCUCUGUGGCGCUGUGUCCCCUCCUUUGAACUCUGAUCCUUCUGCUCAGGCCCUUUCUCCCAGUCUGAAGUAAGGAGUGAAAAAAUGUGAAUUGUUCUACUCAUCUGGAAAAGAGAACCCUGAGGCAGGAACA